ensembl:lncRNA
GACGUGACCUAUAGCCCCCAGGAGGAGGAACGUGACCUAUAGCCCCCAGGAGGAGAAACGUGACCUAUAGCCCCCCUAGGAGGAGAACGUGACCUAUAGCCCCCCUAGGAGGAGAACGUGACCUAUAGCCCCCCAGGAGGAGAACGCGACCUGGUGCAGCUCUGUUACAGGCUGCAGGAUGAGCUUGCACGUGUUAUCCACAGAUCAACCCCUUGAAGUCAGAUCAGUUCUUCCUUUGAGGAACCCAGAGCCCCCCUCUCCCCCUCACCCUCCCUGUGGUCUGGUUGGAGCCGGUCCAGGCCUGUUCGUCCGGCCAAACAGCACGCUGUCCGUCUUCUGCUCUCUGAAACCCGAUAGUGUUGAUUUAUUUUGCUCGGCCUCAAUGUUUUGAUUUGACUGAGCAGACUCAGUGACGCUGAGCCUCAUGUUCCGUGAGUACGCCAAAGUGUUCUGUCACACAGCCCUGUGGGUCCCCGGUGCCCACCAUGGAGAACACACCCUGGGGUGUCCCACCCGUCCUAGGGAGGGUUCAGAAGCCCACCUGCGGUGCAUUUUUAGAGACCCUUCUUUUUCUUUUUUACCAGAACUCUUCGAAGAUUGCACAAGACGGGAGCAAAACUAAGAGCGGACUUUAAACGUUGCAGAUGUCAAUCAUUGUAGCCCGAGGUGAACGGCCUCCAUGUUGUCCACUAUAAACAGACCAGAUGUUUACAUUCCAUUGGAAGACUCGCUGGAAGAUCCUCCAGCUGUCUGUAGCCUCGAUGUAUCUCAUAUCACAGGAUAUAGUCUCAGACUGCAAGGUGUGAGUUUAUCACCAGCUUCACUCUCUUGGGCUCCAGUUGGCCAGUCAUCCCUCCCAGCCAGAGAGAGAGAGAGCAAAUCAAGAUGCACUUUACCGGUCCUGCCCUACUCUGAACUUUUAAUUCAGCAAAGUUUUGUAUAUGGUUGUAAUACGAAAAAGGAUAUUGGAAAUAUUGCUUCAAAUGAAGCAUUAAUGUUGAAAAUAAAGGUUUUUAUGCUGUGGCCGAUUUUCACCCUUUUCGCUCUGUGUGUGCUUUUGGAAGGAUAUUAAUAUUUAUGUGAUGGAUUGAAUUUGUUCUCGGAAUAAAUAAAGCAACAAUAAGACACAGGAGGCGGGGCCGCGUGUUUCCUUCCUCGCGUCCUUUCUGCAUAGCCCAGGUGGGGACGGCCGCAUUCCAUUCGUUCGCUUCACCCAAUUGUAACACAUUUUUCCAAUUAGCCUUUUCUAAACAUGGUUAACAUGUUUUCGUCCAAGUCAACGAAGCAAAGAUGCCUCAAGCGGUGAUGGUGGGGGGGGGGGAUAUUAAACAAUUUGAAUUGCCAUCCACCAAUUAUUAAUGGCAAUUAGUGGUCUAAACUAAUGGUUUACAUCAGAGAAUACACCAAACGUUUUUUUUACAUGGCACAGGGCCAACGAGGGGACAUCAUCAUUGUGAGGAGCCAGCUGUAGCUCCAGUCUACCCAUCGAUUUGAGCGAUGGGCACUGGGAACAGUGGGGGACGUUGUUUGGUUCGUUAGGAGCGUUGUGUUGGACGAUAGCGCCCUGCCAGUUCUGGUUCCAGCAAGAUGUGACCCUCUCAGAACAAUAACAAGCACAAACAAGAGGAAGGAAGCGGUGUGUAUGUGUGUGUGUGUGUGUGUUGGUGCGUGUGCAUGUGCGGCAUACAACAAAUACAACCUUGAGGACAGUGGGUUGAAGUUGAAACGCGACUGCAUCUUUUGCAACUAUUAAUGGCUUUAAUGUUGUGGAUUAGAUACAGUGUACACAGUAUUAGAAAAUAGAAACACUCUAAAUAUCAUAUUGUCUUAAUGUGUCUGUGUGUGUGCGUGCAUGCGUACAGUGAUUCACCCUUUGCUGAAAAUCGUUGCCAGUGACACAUUCUUUCAAUUAUAUGAUGAAAUAUGUGAGCGAAAAGUCCUUCCAAAGCAAAACAUUGUUCCAGGAUCUGUUAGAGAGUCUGUUAGAUCAGAAACUAUCCCAGACGCUAUUUGAAAUGCAG